rnacentral:rRNA from 1 species
AGUGAACGCUGGCGGUAGGCCUAACACAUGCAAGUCGAACGGCAGCACAGUAAGAGCUUGCUCUUACGGGUGGCGAGUGGCGGACGGGUGAGGAAUACAUCGGAAUCUACUUUUUCGUGGGGGAUAACGUAGGGAAACUUACGCUAAUACCGCAUACGACCUACGGGUGAAAGCAGGGGAUCUUCGGACCUUGCGCGAUUGAAUGAGCCGAUGUCGGAUUAGCUAGUUGGCGGGGUAAAGGCCCACCAAGGCGACGAUCCGUAGCUGGUCUGAGAGGAUGAUCAGCCACACUGGAACUGAGACACGGUCCAGACUCCUACGGAAGGCAGCAGUGGGGAAUAUUGGACAAUGGGCGCAAGCCUGAUCCAGCCAUACCGCGUGGGUGAAGAAGGCCUUCGGGUUGUAAAGCCCUUUUGUUGGGAAAGAAAAGCAGCAGGUUAAUACCCCGCUGUUCUGACGGUACCCAAAGAAUAGGCACCGGCUAACUUCGUG